rnacentral:rRNA from 1 species
UAACGCGUGGAUAACCUGCCUCACACAGGGGGAUAACAGUUAGAAAUGACUGCUAAUACCGCAUAAGCGCACGGCAUCGCAUGAUGCAGUGUGAAAAACUCCGGUGGUGUGAGAUGGAUCCGCGUCUGAUUAGGUAGUUGGUGGGGUAACGGCCUACCAAGCCGACGACCAGUAGCCGACCUGAGAGGGUGACCGGCCACAUUGGGACUGAGACACGGCCCAA